CUUUGUGAUUGCUGGGGGGGAUAGUCCAGGUUCUGCCCAGAUGUCCUGCCACGGCACUGUGCAAGGAGCGGUCUGAACGUGUGCAGAGAGCGAAGGUGAGUGACGUGAGGAAGUGAGCCUGCCCAGCGCCACCAGCACCCUGCCUGCCACCGCUGGGCUCCGUGGCUAAUCCCAGCCCUGUCCUUCAGUGUGUGCAACCCAGGGCCUCAGGCCAUCUCCCUGCAAAGCGGUGCAUCCCCUGGUGCUUGCCCUACCUGCUCCGCUCCUGGGGGUGCCACAUGCUUCUCCAAAAGGAACUCAAAGCUCAGCAGUGCUGGGAAUGUGGUGGAGCCUCCCCUCUGUCUGAGGGCAGCCUUUCUUCUCCAGGAAAUCUGCAUCCUCCAUCUCUAGAGCCAAAGCACUCCUUUGCUGUGAUUGCUGCCUUUGAAGCAAGCUAAACUUUCCAAGUGCAAGCUCCAGCCAAGCUUGGGCUCUGGCUCAGCGCUCUUGACACAAAGUGUUCUCCAGCCCUGGGAUAUAUAACCUUCCAAGUCUUCCCACAGCUCCUGGGCCGUGGCUUGGCAGCAGUGCUUCCCUGCGCUGGGCAGAAGCAGGUUAGAUCCAAGCCUGAGAAACCAGCGUUGCUGUAAUGAUACACAAAAUAGAAAUCUCCACCUAACCCAGGACAAAAUGCUGUGCAAUCACUUUUGGAUCGCUGUGGGCUGCUUUCGCCGCAGACGCGAAGUCUGACAUCCAAAUGCACAACAGAAGCACAGUGCUUGUGGAACACAGGAUGACACAGCCUCGGAGAGCGAUAAGAGAUUCCCAUCGCAGCCGGAGAACACCCCCGUGGCCCUUGAACUUGUGACGCCCGGCGGCUCUCGUUAUAUCACCGAGACUUUGCAAAAUGCUCUAGGUGACAUAAACCGCAGUUUAAUGUGUUAGCAUUUGCCCGUCUGGGGGAUUCCUGAGGCUCAGCCAGCAGCGGGGCUGUGGGAAAGGAGGAGCGCAAACACCGCUGUCCUCUGCUGACCCGGCUUGUGCUGCUGCGUCGCUGACAGCCAUAAUAGGGAGCUCUGCGGAGAGGACUGGGUGUCUCGUCCCUGUCCUCGUCCCCUUUCUCAUUACCGUGGAUGAAUUCAAGCACUUAACAGCUUUUGGCUGCUAACUGCAGCUCGGGAUCGUCGGUAACAAACUGCGUCGUGGUGUGCAGCACUGACAGCCCCGAGUGACGCUGCCCGACCGAGUGCUGCUUGCAGCUGCAGCCCCG
ensembl:lncRNA